UACGUAGGGGGCUAGCGUUGUCCGGAAUCAUUGGGCGUAAAGCGCGUGUAGGCGGUCCGGUAAGUCCGCUGUGAAAGUCGGGGGCUCAACCCUGGAAUGCCGGUGGAUACUGUCGGGCUCGAAUCCGGAAGAGGUGAGUGGAAUUCCUGGUGUAGCGGUGAAAUGCGCAGAUAUCAGGAGGAACACCAAUGGCGAAGGCAGCUCACUGGGACGGUAUUGACGCUGAGACGCGAAAGCGUGGGGAGCAAACAGG
rnacentral:rRNA from 1 species